rnacentral:rRNA from 1 species
CUCUCGCAUCGAUGAAGAACGCAGUGAAAUCUGAUAAGUAAUGUGAAUUACAGAAUUCAGUGAAUCAUAGAAUCUUAGAACGCACCUUGCGCUCCUUGGUAUUCCUGGGAGCAUGCCUGUUUGAGUAUCAUG